UAGGUCAGGGUAUCGUAUUGUAACAUGGCCAGCGAUUGGCUGAAAAAAAGUGCAGGGAAAACCGUAUGAAUCACUUUAUACAUGAGGUGAUUGGAUGAGAAUGAGGUAUUUUUAAGUGUAAAAACUAAAUUAAAAAGUAACACUAUACUGUUUUCUGAAGAAAAUGAAAUAUUUCAUGAGUCUCUAUGAUAAUUUUGACUUGGAUAUUUGCAUUUAUUAAAAGUGUAUGUCAGUCCUGUGAUCAGCAGAAAAUUUCAAUGAAAUGGGGGGUAAUCCUCUUUGAAGUCAUUUUGCAAAAAAUUUGGUUGGCUACCACUAUAUAACAGGACAAUUUUUAUGUGUCUGGCAUUUCAUUCUGCUAGAAAAAUCACCUCUUUAGCAUGAAAACUCAAUUUUAAGGUAAGAUUAGGGACCAUUUCUUAUAAUGUAAGUCUAUGGAAAUAUCAAUGUGAGUGUCUGACCUAAAGAGAGGGUCAUUUGAACUGUCAUAAUUCUUUGUAGUACUUUGUCUUCAUUGAUUACACCAUGAAAAGCUGAUAUUUUGGAAGAAUGGAUGUAUACAGCCUUUCAAGGUAUGAAAUUUCAUUAUUUCAAUGCAACUGUUGGUGUUUACAGCAGAUAAUGUGUCAAGGGGGUCAAUCUACAAGCAUUGUAUACAUAUGAACAAGUGUAUUAGUGUUACUUAUCAGUUAAUAAUGGUUUAUAUUUUCUUUAAACAGUGAAUUUGAGUGAAAAUCAAUUGGUGAUAUGUUGAUGAUGAAUAAUAUAGACCUUGGUCAUUAAAAAUAUGUUUUCAGAUUUCAAAGAAAUGCUGUACAUUGGCUAUACACAUGCCAGGUUUGAAGACUUCAUUUAUAACUUGACAGGACCUGAUGUAAGCACAUUGGCCACUUUUGAUGGGUGUUGCAGAAUAUCCGGAAUGCGGCACAAUGGCGCUUGUUAGAAAAAUGGGAUAUUCAAAGUUUGAAAUGACUUAAGAGUGAUGAAAAUGUAUCCAUAUAAUUGGUAAUUGUAUUUGCAACUUCAUUUAUUAUUAGAUAUUAGAAUAUUAAACAUAUAAUAUUCCCUUUA